ensembl:lncRNA
CCCCAUUCUUGUGUAGGGUGUUUUCAGGAAAACACCUGUACUGGAUUCAUGACUGUCAUCACUUUGUCAUAUCCAGAAGACCUAGUUUCACAUCACGUCUCCCCAAAUUUUGUUCUUAUAUCAUUUCUGACUCCCUCUUCAACAACAGUACCUGAGCCUUGGAGGAUGUUGUGCUGGUUGAAUUUAAUGAACUUUCCAUAAAUCUACAUAUAAUCUGGGAAGACUGAACCAGAGUAGAGGUAUCUUCUCUAUCACAUUGUCUUGAAGGAAGUCUGUGGGUCAUUUUCUUGUGAUUAAUGUAGAAUGUCCUCUGUAAUUAUAGGUGGUGGUUCUGGAUGUUGGUACUCCAGGGUGGAUCGUCCUCAAUUGUAUAAGAAAACAGGUUCAGCAAACCAUGGGAGCAAGCACUGCCCCUCCCCAUCUCUCUGUCUCUGUCUCUGUCUCUCUCUGAGUGUGUGUGUGUGUGUGUGUGUGUGUGUGUGUGUGUGUGUAAGUGAUGAUGCAUAUAUGUAGAGGUGAGACUGCAAUGUCUUAGAGUUGGUUUGAUCCUCCUACCAAGAUUGAGGGUCAUCAGGCUUGGAUGGAAAAUGAUCUUAUGUGCUGCAUCAUCUAAAUGGAUGCUUUUUUACGAAUUUCUUCUCAUUAACAUUCUUUUCAUUUAAAAACAUAAGUGUUUCUAAUAUUUCUGUCCCUUUCUAAAUACAUCAAAUCUUAGAAAGUAUUAAGGAACACAUAAGGCUGUGCAUGUACUUUAGAGGCAGUGUGAGUUUGCUUCACACAUGGAAGGCAGCUCUGUAACAGUGAAAACAAGCACAGCAUUUUAAGAAGAAGCCAGUGUGUUUUUCCUGCUGUUUGAAAUAUUUCCAGAAGUUUAUGUAAAGGUAUAAACGUAGCAAUCUUUGUCCAGAAUAUAUAAAGAUGUCUAAUAACUCAACACUAAAAGGACAGUGUGGGCAAUGGAUUUCAAGACAUUUCUCCAGAGAUUUCCAAAUACUUCAUUUAUAUAUUCGAAGAUGCCCAGCUAGAAGAACAUAGCAACCAGAAAAGCAACAGCUUUUGGUCCAGCCCCUGUUCCAGUUGUUCAGGACACACAUGAAUAUCGAGCUGCACAUCUGCCUCACAUGUACUGGGAGGCCUGUCUCCAGCCCCUGUAUGUUCUUUUGCUGGUGGUUCAG